rnacentral:lncRNA from 1 species
AUAAAUCUAUUAAUAAAAGUUAUGGAAAUGUCUUGGAAACUCAUUGGGCAAAUGUGUAGGAACCGUUCAGUUUGAACAAAUAAUCCUAAAUGGAUACAGAAGAGCAUAUGAUCAAAUAAAAACUUUCUGAACCAUUUAACCAUAUAACCAACAAUAGCAUUCCAGACAACAAAACUAACCUACACAAUAUAGGUACACAGGUGUUGAGAAAUCACCUCUCCUGUCUCAAAGCAUUUACCUGAAAUCAUGUGACUCUGAUCCUGCUUAAUAUGGCAAAACAGGAAAUGCAUUAAGGAGGGAAAGUGAGGAAUAAAAAGAGGACAGUUCUGUGCACACUCUAGUGCAAACACACUCGAGAGACAUUCUUGUGAAUGACACAGCUUUAGAGAAAUGGCUUUCAGGACUCAGCAAGCAAGUGUCUGCCCGCUUCUCCUAAUCUCAUUCUGCUUACACUUCAUCACAGAUAACAGGGCCACUGCAAUAUCCAUUCGAGAAAAAUGUGAGUGUGCUGAGGAAACUGGCUCAGUGCAAUGGAGAAAAAUUACAGACUACACGAUCAUACAGAAAGAUCCUCUUUGCAACAAGGUUCAAAUCAUACUCCAGCUGUCAGGUAAACGAUCUUGUCUAAAUCCAGAGUCCAAGCAGGGGAAAAAACUACAAAGAUGCUGGAGAAGAAUUAAAUUCAACACACAGAAGAAGAAGGUCUGUCUGAAGCUCAAGAAGAAGAAUGGACCAAAAAAGCCCAAGAGGCAUUAAUUCAACAAUCUUUACCUUUUCUGUGUAGAAAGACUAUGUGCCUGUACUUUGUCAUUUACCCUGCCAGUCCUUUAUUUGCACAAAUAAAUGAUAUAUGUAUUAUGUAGAUGGAAUUUGUGUAUAUCUAUAUUUUGUACUGCUAUUUUCUAAUAAAAACGUAUAAAAGUUUUUGCAUGGUUUCGUGCAAUUGAUGUGAUAAUUAGCUUAUAUCAUUUUAUGUCCAUAUUUA